AUCCAACUGACGAGUGCCAAAUAGGACGAAAUGCGCGUCCUGGAU
rnacentral:hammerhead_ribozyme from 1 species